rnacentral:tRNA from 1 species
GGGCCCGUAGCUCAGUUGGCUAGAGCGUCUGUUUUGCACUCAGAAGGUCGCAGGUUCAAUUCCUGUCGGGUCCACCA